CAUGCUUAACACAUGCAAGUCGAACGGUAACAGGCCUAGCUUGCUAGGUGCUGACGAGUGGCGGACGGGUGAGUAACGCGUAGGGAUCUGCCUGACAGAGGGGGAUAACCUGGGGAAACUCAGGAUAAUACCGCGUAAGCCCUAAGGGGGAAAGGAUGGGACCGCAAGGCCAUUCGCUGACAGAUGACCCUGCGUUGGAUUAGCUUGUUGGUGGGGUAACGGCCUACCAAGGCGACGAUCCAUAGCUGGUCUGAGAGGACGACCAGCCACACUGGGACUGAGACACGGCCCAGACUCCUACGGGAGGCAGCAGUGGGGAAUAUUGGACAAUGGGCGCAAGCCUGAUCCAGCCAUGCCGCGUGAGUGAUGAAGGCCUUAGGGUUGUAAAGCUCUUUCAGCGGGGAAGAUAAUGACGGUACCCGCAGAAGAAGCCCCGGCUAACUUCGUGCCAGCAGCCGCGGUAA
rnacentral:rRNA from 1 species